rnacentral:rRNA from 1 species
UAUCUGAACCUUCGGGGAACGAUAACGGCGUCGAGCGGCGGACGGGUGAGUAAUGCCUAGGAAAUUGCCCUGAUGUGGGGGAUAACCAUUGGAAACGAUGGCUAAUACCGCAUGAUGCCUACGGGCCAAAGAGGGGGACCUUCGGGCCUCUCGCGUCAGGAUAUGCCUAGGUGGGAUUAGCUAGUUGGUGAGGUAAGGGCUCACCAAGGCGACGAUCCCUAGCUGGUCUGAGAGGAUGAUCAGCCACACUGGAACUGAGACACGGUCCAGACUCCUACGGGAGGCAGCAGUGGGGAAUAUUGCACAAUGGGCGCAAGCCUGAUGCAGCCAUGCCGCGUGUGUGAAGAAGGCCUUCGGGUUGUAAAGCACUUUCAGUCGUGAGGAAGGUGGUGUAGUUAAUAGCUGCAUUAUUUGACGUUAGCGACAGAAGAAGCACCGG